GCAAGUCGAGCGGUAGAGAAGAAGCUUGCUUCUUCUUGAGAGCGGCGGACGGGUGAGUAAUGCCUAGGAAUCUGCCUGGUAGUGGGGGACAACGUUUCGAAAGGAACGCUAAUACCGCAUACGUCCUACGGGAGAAAGUGGGGGAUCUUCGGACCUCACGCUAUCAGGUGAGCCUAGGUCGGAUUAGCUUGUAGGUGAGGUAAUGGCUCACCUAGGCAACGAUCCGUAACUGGUCUGAGAGGAUGAUCAGUCACACUGGAACUGAGACACGGUCCAGACUCCUACGGGAGGCAGCAGUGGGGAAUAUUGGACAAUGGGCGAAAGCCUGAUCCAGCCAUGCCGCGUGUGUGAAGAAGGUCUUCGGAUUGUAAAGCACUUUAAGUUGGGAGGAAGGGUUGUAGCUUAAUACGCUGCAACUUUGACGUUACCAACAGAAUAAGCACCGGCUAACUCUGUGCCAGCAGCCGCGGUAAUACAGAGGGUGCAAGCGUUAAUCGGAAUUACUGGGCGUAAAGCGCGCGUAGGCGGCUUGAUAAGAUGGGUGUGAAAUCCCCGGGCUUAACCUGGGAACUGCAUCCAUAACUGUCUGGCUAGAGUACAGUAGAGGGUGGUGGAAUUUCCUGUGUAGCGGUGAAAUGCGUAGAUAUAGGAAGGAACACCAGUGGCGUAGGCGACCACCUGGACUGAUACUGACGCU
rnacentral:rRNA from 1 species